UGCAAACAGUGAAUUAUGUUGUUGAGUUUGUUUGUUUCAGAGUCAGAGAGCCGUGUCUCUCUACAGUCAGAGGUUUUUGUACGGCGGCUCAAUGAGUUUGUAUCACUGUGGUGGACUUUUGGUGGAGGAACCAGACUGGAUGUUGGAAGUGAUACCCGCCCCGCCCUGACAGUGCUGCCCCCCUCCAACAAGGAGCUGGAGCAGGGGAAGGCCACGCUCAUGUGUGUGGCCAACAAGGGCUUCCCCUCAGACUGGAGUCUGUCCUGGAAGACGAGCGACAGCAGUGGCAGCAGCAGCAUCAGAGGGGAGGAGAGCAGGACUCCUGGAGUGCUGCAGAAUGACGGCCUCUACAGCUGGAGCAGCACCCUGACGCUCACUGAAGACCAGUGGGGGAAGGUGGGCUCUGUGACCUGUGAGGCCACCCAGGGCUCCCAGACUCUGGUCUCGGAGAUACUGAGGAGAGACCAGUGUUCCCAGUCCUGAUGUCAAUCACUGAGUCUUUGAUACUGCUUUGUCUGUUUUCUCUGUCUCUGUUUCCCAUAUGGAAAAGAUAUAUAUAAAUCUUAUAAAGUUUGUAUCUGUCUUGUGUGAAACUUGUAUGAAAAGCAUACAUGAGUGAAAACAGAUAUAAGAUCCCUUGAAAAUUAUAUAAAUGAAACUUGUAUUUUUUUGGAUACUUACUAAAACAAUAUAUGAAAGUGGCCACUUUCAUGAGUAAAUCAUAUAAGUCAUAUAUGAUUUACUAUAUUAAGUAGGCCAAACCUUAUGCAAGUCUUUUAUAAGGUUUUUCUAUUUCUUCUCCAUAUGAAUUUCCUCAGAUUUCAUAUUCAUGUUUUCCUGCUUGUGAUGUCGUUGAUGGUUUUAAUACUUCAAAUAAAAAAAUAUUUCUUCAGUUAA